rnacentral:lncRNA from 1 species
UGGGUGAAAGAGACCCGUGAAUCAAUGCAUGACAUACCUUAGUUCUUCAUUUAGUGAAUAUUUACGGAGAGACUUUCUUGAAAUUGAAUCCCCAAUUAAAACCCUAGCUUGUUCUUGAGAUAAGAUUGAGAGAAACUAGUAUAUUUUGGGUUCUAAAUAGCUGAAUCUUGUGUUAAAGGGCUUAAAUAGUUGUGGGAAAUUGACCCUUUUAAUACUGGACGUAUCUUUUGAUUUC